GACGAACGCUGGCGGCGUGCCUAAUACAUGCAAGUUGAGCGCUGAAGGUUGGUACUUGUACCAACUGGAUGAGCAGCGAACAGGUGAGUAACGCGUGGGGAAUCUGCCUUUGAGCGGGGGACAACAUUUGGAAACGAAUGCUAAUACCGCAUAAAAACUUUAAACACAAGUUUUAAGUUUGAAAGAUGCAAUUGCAUCACUCAAAGAUGAUCCCGCGUUGUAUUAGCUAGUUGGUGAGGUAAAGGCUCACCAAGGCGAUGAUACAUAGCCGACCUGAGAGGGUGAUCGGCCACAUUGGGACUGGGACACGGCCCAAACUCCUACGGGAGGCAGCAGUAGGGAAUCUUCGGCCAUGGACGAAAGUCUGACCGAGCAACGCCGCGUGAGUGAAGAAGGUUUUCGGAUCGUAAAACUCUGUUGGUAGAGAAGAACGUUGGUGAGAGUGGAAAGCUCAUCAAGUGACGGUAACUACCCAGAAAGGGACGGCUAACUACGUG
rnacentral:rRNA from 1 species